rnacentral:ncRNA from 2 species
CUCUUAUCCAGAGUGGCGGAGGGACUGGCCCGAUGAUGCCCGGCAACCAACAAGUUUUUAACUUGAUAAGGUGCCAAUUCCUGCAGAGCAAAAGCCCUGAUAGAUGAGAG